rfam:Nomascus leucogenys chromosome X, whole genome shotgun sequence.
AAUAGGAUGAGAAGACUCUAUGGAGCUUCAAUUUAUUAGGACAAAUGAACUUAGAAAAAAUAAAACUUACAAGUCUUAAUAUUUUAUCUAGUGAAAGAAAUAUUUUGAUUGGGGUGACAUUGGAUAAUAACACAAGCUCGAAAAUGACUUUAACUAAGACUGCACUAGUCAAAGAAACGUAUCAUACAUUGACAUAAAUAGUUUGACCAACUGAGCGUGUUACCCUAGGGAUAACAACACAGUCCUAUUCUAGAUUCCAUAUUGACUGUAGGGUUUACGAUCUCGAUGUUGGAUGAGGACAUCAUAAUGGUGUAACUGCUAUUAAUGGUUCAUUUGUUUUAUUAAAGUCCUACGUAAUCUGAGUUUAGUCCAGAGUAAUACAGCAGGUUGGUUUCUAUCUAUU